GGAAAAGGGAGAAGUUUCCUCCCCCCAAGAGACAGGAAGCACGGCCCCUGCUAAGGGCUCUAUGUGUCCUGAAAUAAAAGCAGGGGCUCUGCAGAUGCGAGAAAUGCAUCAUGGGCUGCAUCACAGCCUCUCGCUGUGACUAACUCUCUCUCAGCUGCAGAAACACACAGCACGUGUCCUAGGCUCACAACACAAGCCUGUGACCAUCUGCACCCAGCUCACAGCAAAGCAGGAACCGUGAGGAGAGAUCUCCAAAAGAUGUGCGGGCAGGUGGGAUGGGCCAUGCCGUGUCCCCAUGUCCAUGUCCUCCUGCUGCUGGUGUUUGGUGAGUUGGGGCUGCUUUGGGUAGCAGGGAACUCUGCUUGGAGGAAGAAGCCCAGCACAAAGAGGCUUGAGAUGGUGCCGAGGGUGGAGGUAGAGUACGCGUGGGAUAGAGUCUAGCACCAAAAGCAUGAUUUUUGAAGUAGAGGAGACUGCAUCUGGAAAAGAAAACCCAUCCCAAAUGGAUUUAGGCUUGCUCAAAUGGAGACAGUGGUGAUACGGGAAGGGGAUACACUUGUGGAGUGGUGACUGCUGAAGACUGGAGACAUGGACAGAAACUUAUGGGUGUGCAGGACACUGUCCCUCUAACCAAACCCCUCUCUGCUCCACGGUGCAGGUACUGCUGUGAGCACCCAGGGCAUCUGCAGUUCCACAGCUGAUGGUGAGUGUGGGAAUGGGUCCAGAAAAUGAAGACAUGGUGGGGGAGGAGAUGGAAAGAGAGAAAGGCGUUAUUGCCUCUGAAUUCCCAGUAUCUGCCCCAGGAGGGCAGAUUCUCCAUGACUUGGAAUGCAGUGUGUUUUGCAACUAAUGAUGCUGGUGGAAUCCCUGUGCCAUCUCUCCAGGUACUCUCCAGGCUCCAGCCCUGUACCUUAACACUUCCAGAGCACGGGAAGGGGAAAUCGUCCUGGCUCAAUGUAUCCUUCAGAAGAUAAUACCUGCUGCCAGAAUUGUCUUCUGCAAGGAUGGGAUGGAACUGUACAGCAUGAAAGCCCAUCAGCAUACGGUCAUCAACUUCAUGCUGCUGAACAUCUCUGCAAGAAGCAGUGGGACAUACGCGUGUGCGUACCAGCAGAGGAACGAGAGCAAUUGGCUAAGGAGAUCUCCCCUCAGCACUCCCUUGGAUCUACUUGUCACAGGUGGGACAUGACACCAGGGUUGUGCGGACGCAGGGGAUGGGAGGACUAAACAUCACAUAGGUUUUCUGGAUCAAGAAAUGCCAUAGAGAGAAGUGGGCUCUGGAAUGGUCUCCCUCUCCAUCCCGUGGUGCAGAAAUGGGGCACUGCAGUGCCCAGGCUCAGGAAGCAGGUGCAGGGUUUGGGCACGAUCCCUUUUGUGGGAAAGGAUGCUGCAAGGGUUAUUCAAAAAAUGUUUUGAGAAUAAGGAAUGGAAACUCAGGUGAUUUCCAAGUGUGAGGUUGCUUCUCACUGUGUGAGUUCCUAUGCAGCAAGAAGACGAUGCUGUGGCCAUAGUGUGGGGAUGGCCAGAUGUCCGUUUGCUUUGGGAUCUGGGUGCCUCCACCUGCAACAAAACCACCUAAAAGAGGCUUUAGAUGGCGGCAGGAGGGGAAAUGCAUUAUGGAGUCUUGCAAAUGGGAUGCUGUCAUCCCAUCCCAUAGAGGCAGAGCAACAUACUAGUCCUUUCUUAUCCACAAGGUCAAGGAAAGGAGAGAGUUGUGCUGCAAGAUCAUCCGGUGCACAGUUGCAUUUCUGCCAUGCAUUUCUUAAUUCAUCAUAGUUUAGAUAAUUGAUCAUCAGAAUGGCAGAAACCCCAUGUCAGCCCACGUGUCUCAGGGGACAGAGCUGGCUCUGUGGGCAUCUUCCAAGGCCUACAUACCCUGCCCCGUACCAGUGCACUCAGGAGCUGUGUCCAUGCAGAGCUAUGAGCACUGGUGACACUCAGCCCAUCCAUAUGUCUGUCCAGGUCAUGUGUCCGAUUCCUCAGCAGGAACCAUAACUGCAGGUGAGGGACUCUCCUUUGCUCCUACUGACCCCAUCCCUUCACCUUUUCCCUAUCCCUCCCCUCUUUUCUCAUCUCAUCGCUAUGGCGCUGUUACACCCCAACUUCUGUGUCACUCCCAUCUGACCCCAUCACCCUCUGUGUCCCCAGACACCAACACUCCUCUGAACCUCACAGUCAUUCAUGUGCUAUCAGUUACUGUCACCCUCCUGCUGUCUGCAGCCACCUUCUGGACCAUUAGGAAAGGUGCCUGCCGGGAGAGAUGCCGAAGGUGAGAAGUAAGGCUGGGAGGGGACGAUUGAGAGCAUUUGGGAACUUGGGGAACUCCUUUUGCAGGGCAGCAUUAUCUGUGAGUUCCCCCAUAACAGGAAAGGACUGCCAUGGUGUUGGAGAAGGAAGGAUUUCCUCAUGGUAACAUUACUGAUAGCUCGUGGAUGCCUGGAGGAUGAGGGAUUGCCGUGGGGUUGGAGUGAAUGCAGUGCCUGAUGCAAGGAGACUUCAUCCAAAUGAAUAACAGUCCUGGCCCCCUGCAGCAAACAUCCACCCCAAAUCCAUUUUCCCUUAAUCCACAGGCAGCAGCACGUUCCCAGCCAGCAGGUGCAAGCCACCGACUAUGGAGAAAUCCAGUGUGAGUGCUGGGCACCCCUUUUCCAUGGGGACCCCCUUCCCUUGGGCUCCCAUUUGCCAUCCCACCUGUCCCUUUCCCGCUUGGACAUGCAAAAACCAUUUCUCAAGAGUCAGUUUCUCCAGGGUGCUUUCAUCACAGUGCUCAUGGUGACAAAUCUCAUUUGCACAGCGGGUCUCACACUUCAGACUCUGCUGUUCUCCCAUCUACAGUUCCCCUCACUAUGGUGUUUGUUUCAAGCACAGACCAAAGCUCAGCCCUGCACUGGAGGAUAUUGCUGUGUACACAGACAGCAGUGGGGGAAUAUCUCAUAGAUGGCUCUGCAUGUGCAGGCAGCUGCAAAGGGAGGAUGCUGUGGUCAGGGAUGGGGGAUAUAACGCCACCACACCUGCACCUUGCUCUGUUUGCAGCUUGAGUUUCAUUGCAGAGCAGCAGGCUCAGAUGUGCUGUGUAAAUAUAGAAAAUGCCUCAAAUGAUGGGAAAAUGCCCCCCCAAAGCCCAGCAUCUCGGGUCCUCCAAAUCUUCCUGCAGAGUGGUGCAAUGGGGGUGGACAGUCAUUCCAGAGCUCCGCGGGGUCUGCUGCCCAAACCAGUGGUGGGUCACCCCCCUUCCCACAUGAAUACUGAGCACUCAUAGUGUGUUUUUUUUCCCCACAGACUCAACCAUUGCCCACUUUCGAAGGGACAAGGUGAGUCAGGGCCCUUCUCACCCAAAACUAAAGUGAUAUGCUCCACAGAAAUGGCAUUUUCAUUUUGGUACGCUUGCUCAUGCAUCUCUUUACUUGCACAAAAACUGCAAAUCACAAGAUUUAAUUUCUGAGUCACAAGUCACUCUACCUCAGUCUACGGCAAUGCCUCCCCUUGUUUUCCAACCCAGAUCUGCUCUGACUUUUGCUAGCUGACUCCUGCCUGCUUCACCAAUGCGUGCGGCUCCCUCCAGCGCUCCUGGAGCCUCCUUGUGCAGGGCUUGCAGGCUGCAGCUGCAAUAACAGGGCUUUCCUUCCCC
rnacentral:lncRNA from 1 species